UGUAGAUGACUAUCAAGUGCCUUGAGCAUGGGAAAGGCGCUAUAUAAAUAAAAUGUAUUAUUAUUAUUAUUAUUAACUACAUCCUUGAUGUGUUUUCAUGAACAGCAGAAACAUGAUGACAUCAGGUCCACUCAUAUAUUUAUUGCCACAAAAUGUAUGAUUGACAGUGAUUAUUGAGAAAUAUCAUAGUAGUAAUUAAUUAAGUGAGAAACCUCUGAUUUUUAAUUUUACUUAAUAUGGUUGCUAUCAGACUUUAUCAGUAUAUUGUAAGUUUAAAUGCCACUGAGGAAAACAUGAAAAUUCUCCUGCAUAAACGUCUUUCAGAAUAAAGAGCAGUGGUUUCCCAAGAUGUGGUAAACUAAAUUAAGUGGUUAGCACUGCCACUGCACAGAUCCCCACUGUUCUGAGUUUGAGUCAUGUGUCCAGUCAUUGUCUCUGUGGAUUUUGCAUGUUCUUUCCAUGUCUACAUGGUGUGAAAACAAACAAAGGACAGUGUAAGAAAUGUUUCGGAUGAUUCCUUGUUUAAUUUUUAUGACCAGUAAUUGAAGUAAGAGGGAUUGUUGUCUUGACAAUGUUUGAGAAAACAUUAAGAUAAACAGUUUCAGAGAUGCAGAGCUCCUUGCUGCUCUGAGGAUGGGUUAGGACUAGGAUGGGGUAAAUACCAGUGGGACUAAAAAGGGUGGAGUUUCAUGGCUCCUGGAAGUGACCUCAGUGAUUAUCCAAUGGUUUCUCUUUCUCCAUUCUAGGGAAACAUUCUCAAAUCCUUCUCCGUAAUACUGCUACAGAAACUGUUAAAGCACUCUCUGUGCUUGUAUGUUUGGAAAUAGGUUUUUCUCUGCGUACUCCAAUGUUACAUUACACAUUUCCAAAGACAUGUGUAAGGUUAAUUGGUAACUCAUAAGAUAAGAUAUUUAUAUUAACCAAUCAUGGCUCCGGAGAACAAUGACCCUAUAAAUUGGCUCUGUGUUGGUGGGUGAGUGAGUGAGUGAGUGAGACCUGUGUCUCUGUACAAGGCAGUUUCCUGUCUUGCACCCAGUGCUGCUAGGCAUACCUCUGCCUCCCUACAACACCCCCAGAUCCUUCACCAUGACCCUAAAAUGAAUUAAAUGGAUCUGAGGAUGUUAUCACUUAGAGUGGAUGCAGCUAUUGCUUAAAUUAUAAAAAAUAUGAGUUAUCAGUGUCUUCUAAGGACAGUUAGAAUCGUGUUAAAUAGUAGUUUACUUUUUGAAAGACUUGUUUUCAUGUGUAAAUAAAGUUGAUAUGCACAGUUGUUAGUGCUGCUGCCUCACAGUCAAGACAACAGUUCAUAUUCUUUCACCAUCACGAUCUAUGUUAACUUUGCAUGUACUCCCUGGGUCCAUUUGAAUUUUCCAUUAGUUCUCUGGUUUGCUCCAAUACCCGAAAAAUGUGAAUGCAAUCCUGCUUUUAACUGGUGUUUACAUAAACACGUCCUCUGACGAAAUGACCUCAUUUUCAGUAUUUAUUGUUGCUUUGCACUCAGUGCUACUUCAAUAAGCUGUGGCUCUCCACCACCUUACAUUACAGGUUAAAAAACAGGUGCAUUUUAUUUAUGUAUAUUUAAUUGUAAAUUACUUUUGCUUGUCACAUUUAUUUUCUAUUCUUCCUUUUUCUAGUCAUUUUAAGAGACAUGUAGAGUCAUUUGCUAUUCUUGCGGCAAAUGAUGCAAUAUGUACAAAGUAACUCUGGAUAAGGUGUCCAUUACAGGCCAUUAUAUUGUCUGCUCAGACUUGGCCAGAUAGGAUUACCACAUCACCUAACAAAAUUAGAGCAUUAAAACUGACAAUCACAGCAGCACUCACAUUUAUUUUCAUAGGUAGGUUUUUCAGGUUUUCUUAAACUGGUUGUGCUCUUGUUUUGUAAACUAAUAUUAAAUGAGAAGGAUUAUUUAUGAGGUGCUCCGGUGAAAUUAAAAUAAAUUUCAGGACACUGCUAAUAUUUUAUUUCUCUCUUUUUGAAUAGGUACAUCUAUUCAUCCCUGCUGUUUUCACCGUUGUAUGUUUUUUCAUUGUGGGGAUGUCCCUCUACUCUGAUCCAGUCAACACAGGCAUCAGCUUUGCCCUCACCCUGA